UUCAUUCUAUACCGACCAUAACAGGUUCUUUCUCUUCAUUCUAUACCGACCAUAACAGGUUCUUUCUCUUCAUUCUAUACCGACCAUAACAGGUUCUUUCUAUUCAUUCUAUACCGACCAUAACAGGUUCUUUCUCUUCAUUCUAUACCGACCAUAACAGGUUCUUUCUCUUCAUUCUAUACCGACCAUAACAGGUUCUUUCUCUUCAUUCUAUACCGACCAUAACAGGUUCUUUCUCUUCAUUCUAUACCGACCAUAACAGGUUCUUUCUCUUCAUUCUAUACCGACCAUAACAGGUUCUUUCUCUUCAUUCUAUACCGACCAUAACAGGUUCAUUCUCUUCAUUCUAUACCGACCAUAACAGGUUCAUUCUCUUCAUUCUAUACCGACCAUAACAGGUUCAUUCUAUACCGACCAUAACAGGUUCAUUUUCUUCAUUCUAUACCGACCAUAACAGGUUCAUUCUCUUCAUUCUAUACCGACCAUAACAGGUUCAUUCUAUACCUACCAUAACAGGUUCCUUCUCUUCAUUCUCACUCUUCUCUACUGGUCAUAAAAGUAAUUUGCAGUGCUCUUCCAUGACUAUAUACAUCUAUAUACUAUAGUUACAUUGAGUUAUGUUGCCACUUUCCAAAUCAUAAUAUCAUCAUCCUUUAAUGCAAAAUGUGUCUUUUGUCUAAUAUAUUUUUCGUUAUGUGUAGGACCCAACUAAGACUGUAGUCAUCGGCGUUGGCUGAUGGGGAUCCUAAUAAAUCAAAUAAAAAAUGGAAUCCAAUAGAAGACAUUCUAAUAUCAUUACAGUGGAUAUUAAUUCAUCAUAUAGCGCUUGAAUCUGUUACUGUUGUGCUAUUACAGAUCUGCCAAGUUCUCAUGCAGUUGUUGCAAUGUAGUGGAAUGCUUUAAAACAGCCACAAGGGGGCAAGCCAGUGCAGACACAGACUGCAAUGCAGGCAAUCAGGGUCAUACUAUGUGCUACAGACAUGCUGCAGUCUCCUCACUCAGAGAAUACUACAGAACUUGCGUACUGCGCAUGUAAUAAGUAACCUCCCCACGUAAGCCAUAGUUUCCUGAAUGCUAUCCAAGAGGAUUAGACUUAAUUCAAAUCAAAUCAAAUAUUGUUCAUCACAUGCUUCGUAAAAGCAGGUGUAGACUAACAGUGAAAUGCUUACUUACGAGCCAUUACCAACAACGCAGAGAUAAAGAAAAUAGAAAAGUAAAACACAUAAUAAUAAAAGCAAUAAUAAAUACACAAUGAGUAAGGAUAAUUUGUCUCUAUACAGGGGUACCAGUUCUGCAUCCAUGUGCUUAUAACUAGGAAUAAAGUGACAGAUAAUCAUCCUCGGAUGGGGCCACAGUGUCUCCUGACCCCUCCUGUCUCAGCCUCCAGUAUUUAUGCUGCAGUAGUUUAUGUGUCGGGGGGCUAGGGUCAGUUUGUUUAUCUGGAGUACUUCUCCUGUCCUAUUCGGUGUCCUGUGUGAAUCUAAGUGUGCGUUCUCUAAUUCUCUCCUUCUCUCUUUCUUUCUCUCUCUCGGAGGACCUGAGCCCUAGGACCAUGCCCCAGGACUACCUGACAUGAUGACUCCUUGCUGUCCCCAGUCCACCUGGCCAUGCUGCUGCUCCAGUUUCAACUGGCCUGGGCCCUAGGACCAUGUCCCAGGACUACCUGACAUGAGGACUCCUUGCUGUCCCCAGUCCACCUGGCCAUGCUCCUGCUCCAGUUUCAACUGUUCUGCCUUACUAUUAUUCAACCAUGCUGGUCAUUUAUGAACAUUUGAACAUCUUGUCCACGUUCUGUUAUAAUCUCCACCCGGCACAGCCAGAAGAGGACUGGCCACCCCACAUAUGCUCUCUAAUUC